UACGAAUGGAGCAAGCGUUGUUCGGAAUAACUGGGCUUAAAGCGUAUGUAGGCGACCAGAAAGUCAGGAGUGAAAUCCCGGGGCUCAACCCCGGAACUGCUUCUGAAACUUCUGGUCUAGAAUACUGGAGAGGUUGGGAGAAUUCCUAGUGUAGAGGUGAAAUUCGCAGAUAUUAGGAGGAAUACCAGUGGCGUAGGCGCCCAACUGGACAGUUAUUGACGCUCAGAUACGAAAGCGUGGGGAGCAAACA
rnacentral:rRNA from 1 species